AGAUGACGGACAGCGCGGCGGCGGCGGCCCUUCCGCUCCGCGCAGCGCGCUCGGCACCUGGGCCCGCCGCGCCGGGACGGCGGCUCCGCACCUGCGGCGGAACCAAUUGGGAAUUCCUAGGCAAUUUUCUCCGUUUCUGCCUCCGCUUCUACAGCAUCUAGUACCAGUGCCACCUACAGGAAUAAUUGCAUUUUCGAGCUGCUUUCAAGUAACCAAAAUUCCGCGUUUGAGAGUCCUGGUAGCUCUGUCGUCUUCCUGGACGCACAGCAGCAAGUCUGACUUCGAAAGGCGCUGUUUUUCUUCGUGGCUUUCGUUUGAGAUCACGGACUGAUGCAGGUUCGCUCCACUGUACCACGGCAGUGGGAGUGACAGAGCCCUUCCCGCCGGACCCCGGGAGACCCAGCCGGCAAAGGUCAUAUUUGUCUCCCUGCAAAGAUGCAAGCCUGAAAACCUUUCCACUGAUCCCUGGGGCAGCAGUCCCUUCACGUUGAUCACAGUGCAUGGAAAGAAGUCCUCUCAGACAAGCUAGUGUGGUAAAGCCACCAAGGUGAUGCCCAGCUGUGGGCAGAAGGCAGCCUUCCCUGCACUGCCAAGUGAGUGUAGAAGCUGUCUGGCAUUGGCAUGCCUGGCAUUUCAUGCAUGGUGCCUAACACUAGCACAGUCAAGCCCAGGUUUCCAGGAAGCCCAAAAGUCCAUGUGGGCACAUCCAUAGAGAAGACAGCGGCAGCUCAGCCUCCUGUUUUACCUCUUGGACUGCUGUGUCCCUCUGAGACAGACUCCAUUGAGAUCUCUGUGAAAUGAAUGAUGUGACUUACCAGUAUCGUACAAGCUGUUCCAAGAAUAUCAGCAAGGCACUGGAAUAUGGCAGGGGGACUGGAGACUUUCCUGAGAAGGUUUUACCCAGUGGUGGAAAAUAUAUUUGUGUUAUUACUUUAGCACAAGUGUCUUCUAUAAUGCUAAGGUUUGCUUUCAAAUAAAACAUAAAUUGCACAUCUGGUUAGAAGAAAUAAAUGCAAUAGUGCUUCAAAGACUAUCUGUCAGGCUUAAAAAGCAAAGAGAGGAGGAUUUAUUGGUGUUUUUAUUAUUAACAUAAAAGCCUUGGGAUCUCAAAAUAGACUAGAGUUUUAGGUAAAUAUGGGUUCUAUUUUCUUCUUUGUUCACCUUAACAUUUUAUUAGCAUCAAGCUAAAAAAGGAUCAUCUGAAUGUUAAUAUGUUUACUGUGUGCACAUGGAUGUUAGCCUAAUCAAUACACAGAUGUAGAAGACUGUAGAGAAAAGUAUGCACUACAAGUAUAUUCAUCAUCUUAAACAUUUCAGACAGCAUCUUCAUUCUGGAGAUAUUAUUUGUUUAAGAAAACCCACUCUUGUACUUUUCCAGUCUUUCAAGACUUUUGUGAAGCAGCAGUGGGCUGCUUCUGUGCAAAGACUUGGAAUGGACAUCCAUUUGCAAAUGAAAAAGCAAUGAAGGUAGUUUCUAAAAUAGAUUAUUUAUAAAAUUAAAAUUUGAGGAAGCUUGGGUAAAAAUAACAUGGCCAAAACAGCAAAUAUUGGGCAGCUGGAGACAUACACAUUAGAUUUCCUGCCUGAGCUGCUGGUGACUUCAGCCUCCUUUCCAGGAGAAAAUUACCCUAUCCAAUGCUUCUUAAAGCCUCGCAUGAGUCACUCCAAGGUGUUGGAGGGGGCUGUACAAAUCCUGGUCCCCAAUUUCUCCUAAAAAUUGUCUGCAAGAGGUUCAGUUUUGCUGUGUCAGGACCAGGUUGAAUCUGUCAUAGGAUUUAAAUUAAAUCCUUGGCAACCACUUUUCUGAUUUUAUAACAAAAUCUGACCUAUGUGUUAAAGUGAGGACAUUGUUCUGCUGGGUUAUUGCUUAAUUACUAAAUGAAGAAAUAUUAAGUACAAAUUUAAUGACUCAUACAAUAUUUCCAAAUGACAUGUACUAUAAAGUCCCAUUUACAUCUACCACACUGGUGUUUAACUCACUUUCCAUUAUUCCUGAGGCUAUUAAUGUCAGUAAUUACAGCAGGUAAUAUGUCUAAUAUUGAGUGUAUUGUGGGAUAAAGCAAUGUCGAGCUCCUGCAGUGUGUUUUAUAUUAAGUACAAAAAGCUUCUGAUACAGUUAAUGUAACUAUAAAUCUUAACUCAAAUGCUUAUAUGUCUCGUUUAUGACCUGAAUAAACUCUGAGGCAGAAGCAGGGCAGCUGAACAGCCGCUCGCUGCCAAACCACAUAUUCAGCAGAAUAUGCACUUACAAUAUCCUUUUCAUAUUGAACAGUCACAGAAAGACAGAAAACAGGCCGAGUAUUUUCUAUAAAUUAAGUUGGAUUCUUUUCCAGAACACUGAGUUUAAUGGUAAAAAAAAUCCCUAAAUACACACAAAUCUUAAAAUCACAAAUAUAUAAAUAGAAUAUAAAACUCAAAAUAGUGUGGAGGAUUUUUUUCCAGUGAAAAUCCAGCCUGUGCUCAUGAUAAGAGCUGCUCCGCAGGUUUGGAUGUGUUAAAUAUUGAACACCCUGCCACUUGGAGAAUGCACAUCGCUCUGCCCCUUUGGAGAGGCUGCUGGAUUGGCCUGGGUGUGGAGCUGGCCAGAAAUCACAGGCGCCUCUGGAAGAGCUGGCAUUCACUGUCAGUGUGAGCUGCCAAAGGAAAACUGGGCUGUGAGGGCAAACCUUUGGAAGGAACCCUUUGGAAGGCUGUGCUGUAGGUGACUGAUAUGAUUUGGUCUGACUUUGAGCUCACUUGGAACCACUGUUUCAAGCCUGAGCAAAAAACCUGAGCAGGAAUAGUGUGUGCUGAGAACAAGUAAGCACCACUUAAAGUCCUGUCAGGGCUCCGACUUCCAAUGUCAGCCCCCAUGUGCUGUGGCACCCUUGUGUCCCCAAACAUCAGCACACACCUGGUGAGGCUUCAGCCCAGGUGCCUGCAGUGUGAGGGUGGCUGUGGCAUGGGAGCCUGCAGGAUGAAGCAGGGAGGGAAAUCAUUUGAUCCACAAAAAACAAGAUUUAGGUGCAAGUUGCACUGGAGAUCACAAAAUUAGGAUCAGAGAGAGAUCAACUACCAGAAAGCAGAAGCCCUACUUCAAUCAAUUUUCACUGAAAUAAAUUCCUUUGGAUGGGAAGUUCUCCUUAAAGACCUUUGGUACAGUAUGACCCUUUAAUAUUAAGCAUGUCAACAUUUAAAUUUAUGAUGCUAUUUUUUGUAGAGCUAUUUACAAGGGGAGUAUUUCCCUCUGAAUUUGUAAUAAAUCAUGAAAAACAUCUUUUCAUUCCAUUUCCCUUUAGAAAGAAAUAUUUGGUAGUUUAAAAUAUUUAAUGUAGUGGAAAAUCUAAAGGGAAAAAUAAAGCAUCAAUAGACUAUUUCAGCAGCAGAAACCAUUCGGGACCUGCUUAACCACCUAAGCUCUUCUCCAAAUUUAUUUGGAAAGGGGCAUAUAAAGAGCUCAUCACUUUCCAUCUCCAUUUUCAUAUGUGCAGCACAUGCAAUAGUUUAGCUGUGUACUCACACUCCGAGCUGAUCAUGAUGGUGAGCUGAAGUAACUUGAGAUCACCAUUUCUUUCUCCUUAUGACAGUUCUGGAACAUUUGGUUGACUAAUUACCUUGUUACUAGUCAGCUUUUUUUUUUAAUAUUUGACUUUAUUUAUGAAGGUACAUGCACAAGAAGGGUAGGAGCCACACACACAAGUUACCAUUUUAAACCAGAGGAUUAUUACACCACCAUGCUUUCCCUGUGCUUGAGAUAGGAAAACUACACAGGCAAGAUAAAAUUUACUCAUGUCCAGUACUUCACCCUGUCCAUUUCUCAGAACAGACCAAACCCAAAGACUGACACAAAGGUGUGACCAAGGUCUUCCUCAGUUAAGUGCAAAUCUUCCACUGAUUUAAAGGGUUGAUGCUCUAAACUUUAAAGCAUGGAGAUUAUGAAGCAUAAGGUCCAUAGUAUGGGCUGUGUCUGUAUCAGUGUAUUUGUGCAGAUAUAUACAUAAAUAUAUAAUAUAUACAUAUUUACUUA